UCCGUAGGUGAACCUGCGGAAGGAUCAUUAGUGAAUUAAACAUGCUUGGUGUCUUCGCUUCGGCAAGGCCCUUGCUUAACUCACAUCCCAACACCUGUGAACUGUAAGGCGCAUGACUAGGUUCGCCCAAGUCAUCGUCUGCCCUUUUUAACAAACAAUUAAUGUAACAAACGUAGUCUUAUUAUAACCUAAUAAAACUUUCAACAACGGAUCUCUUGGCUCUCGCAUCGAUGAAGAACGCAGCGAAAUGCGAUAAGUAAUGUGAAUUGCAGAAUUCAGUGAAUCAUCGAAUCUUUGAACGCACCUUGCGCUCUUUGGUAUUCCGAAGAGCAUGCCUGUUUGAGUGUCAUGAAAAUAUCAACCUUGACUUGGGUUUUGUGCUCUAGUCUCGGCUUGGAAUUGGGUGCUUGCCGCUUUUACGAGCGGCUCACCUUAAAUGUAUUAGCUGGAUCUGUCUUUGAGACUUGGUUUGACUUGGCGUAAUAAGUAUUUCGCUAAGGACAUUCUUCGGAGUGGCCUCGUUUCUAGGACGCUUGUCCGCUUUCCAAUACAAGUUCCACCUCGUGGACAUGACUUUUUAUUAUCUGGCCUCAAAUCAGGUAGGACUACCCGCUGAACUUAAGCAUAUCAAUAAGCGGAGGA
rnacentral:rRNA from 2 species